UACGUAGGGUGCGAGCGUUGUCCGGAAUUAUUGGGCGUAAAGAGCUUGUAGGCGGUUUGUCGCGUCUGCUGUGAAAAUCCGGGGCUCAACCCCGGACUUGCAGUGGGUACGGGCAGACUAGAGUGUGGUAGGGGAGACUGGAAUUCCUGGUGUAGCGGUGAAAUGCGCAGAUAUCAGGAGGAACACCGAUGGCGAAGGCAGGUCUCUGGGCCACUACUGACGCUGAGAAGCGAAAGCAUGGGGAGGCGAACAGGAUUAGA
rnacentral:rRNA from 1 species